AUGGGAAGAAUCAAUGCUAAUCCUAUCUGGGGUAAGGUUUGGAAAUUAUCUUGUCCGGCGAAGGCUAAAAUUUUCAUCUGGCGUACCUUGCAUGGAACCCUCCCAUGUCGGGUUACACUUGCUAAUAGACACAUGAAAGUUUCGCCCAAUUGACCAUCAUGCUCGAAGGGGGCAGAAGAUACAAAGCACAUUUUAUUCAUGUGUCAAAAGGCAAAGGAGGUAUGGGGCAAGUUAGGACUACAUGAGGUGAUCAAUAAAGCAUGUGCUACUGAUCAUGCGGGAGAGGCGGUCUUGGAAUUCUUACUACUUAUGCCAGAACAUGAAUUAGUGAUAGUGGGUUCUCAAAAAGUACGUGAACUGAUCGCUGUUACAGCCUGGUACUUAUGGUGGGAUAGACGUAAACUGGUUCAUGAAGGAACGUUUCAAGAUGCAAACCAAAUUUCCAUGAGUGCACGGGCUAUAACGGCUAACUAUGUUAAUGCAAACUCCCCUAAGGCAACUAGUAAAUCAGGAGGAUGGAGAAGACCUCCUAUGGGUCUUGUUAAGCUUAAUGUCGAUGCCUCUUAUGACCAUGAUUUACUUAGGGGCAUAGCUGUGGCUGUUCUCAGAGAUGAUAAUGGAAGAUUCAUUGUUGGUGGAAACUGGAGGAUUGAUUAGUGUGCUGACGUAUUAACAGUAGAAGCUUUGGCUCUAAGAUUCGGCCUAUCCCUUGCACAAAAGGCGGGAUGCAAUCGUCUUCUUGUUAAUUCUGACAAUAUGGAGGUGAUUGAAGUAAUGAAAAAUGGAGGACAUUCGGCGGGAGCGGCGGCAGCAGUGUUCGAUGAUUGCUAUUUCAUAGCUUGUGAUUUUUCGCUUGUUAGAUUUGAACAUUGUAAUAGGGAAGCAAAUAAGGUGGCUCAUGAAAUUGCUAGGCUAGCAAAAUUUUCAGCCACUACAGACUAG
rnacentral:rRNA from 1 species